UGGUGGGACUGGCGAGACAGCUCCAGCUCUGGGCCAUUGCAUCAGCACCGGGGAUGCAAUCACAGAGGUCAUUGCUGCUCAGUGGUACUCAGUGCUGCUCAUUGCUCCUCAGAGCGGCUCAUUGCUGCUCAGGCCUGCACAGCAUUCCUCAGAGCUCCUCAGUGUUCCUCAGAGCUCCUCAGAGCUCCUCAGUGUUCCUCAGAGCUCCUCAGUGCUCCUCAGAGCUCCUCAGAGCUCCUCAGUGUUCCCCAGUGCUCCUCAGAGCUCCUCAGUGUUCCUCAGAGCUCCUCAGAGCUCCUCAGUGUUCCUCAGAGCUCCUCAGUGUUCCUCAGAGCUCCUCAGAGCUCCUCAGAGCUCCUCAGAGCUCCUCAGAGUUCCUCAGAGCUCCUCAGUGUUCCUCAGAGCUCCUCAGAGCUCCUCAGUGCUCCUCAGUGUUCCUCAGUGUUCCUCAGAGCUCCUCAGUGUUCCUCAGAGCUCCUCAGAGCUCCUCAGUGUUCCUCAGUCCUCAGAGCUCCUCAGUGUUCCUCAGAGCUCCUCAGUGUUCCUCAGAGCUCCUCAGUGUUCCUCAGAGCUCCUCAGAGCUCCUCAGAGUUCCUCAGAGCUCCUCAGUGCUCCUCAGUGUUCCUCAGAGCUGCUCAGUGUUCCUCAGUGCUCUUCAGUGUUCCUCAGAGCUCCUCAGUGUUUUUCAGAGUUCCUCAGUGCUCCUCAGUGUUCCUCAGUGUUCCUCAGAGCUCCUCAGUGUUCCUCAGAGCUCCUCAGUGCUCCUCAGUAUUCCUCAGUGUUCCUCUGUGCUGCUCUGUGCUCCUCAGUGCUGCUCUGCGCACCAAGAGAUGCCCAGCAGAGUCCAAAUUCCUCUUCUGCAAGACUCCCUGCAAGGCACCAACCCCUGUUUGUUCUGCAGGGUUAAGCAAGGGGACAUGGGGACCCUAUGGGUGGACGCAGCAUCCAUCCUCAGUGCUGUCCUCUGCUCCCCCAAGUUGCACAAAGAAGGAGUGCAGGGGGCUGAGCUGUUCUCCUGGUCUUCAG
rnacentral:lncRNA from 1 species